CCUACGGGAGGCAGCAGUGGGGAAUAUUGGGCAAUGGGCGCAAGCCUGACCCAGCAACGCCGCGUGAAGGAAGAAUGCUUUCUGGUUGUAAACUUCUUUUCUCAGGGGCGAAGCAAGUUCCGGUACCUGAUGAAUAAGCCACGGCUAACUACGUGCCAGCAGCCGCGGUAAUACGUAAGGGGCAAGCGUUAUCCGGAUUUACUGGGUGUAAAGGUCGUGUAGGCGGGGACGCAAGUCAGAUGUGAAAACCACGGGCUCAACCUGUGGAGUGCAUUUGAAACUGUGUUUCUUGAGUACUGGGGAGGCAGACGGAAUUCGUAGUGUAGCGGUGAAAUGCGUAGAUAUUAGGAAGAACACC
rnacentral:rRNA from 1 species